UGGGGAAUUUUGGACAAUGGGCGAAAGCCUGAUCCAGCAAUGCCGCGUGUGUGAAGAAGGCCUUCGGGUUGUAAAGCACUUUUGUCCGGAAAGAAAUCCUUGGCUCUAAUACAGUCGGGGGAUGACGGUACCGGAAGAAUAAGCACCGGCUAACUACGUGCCAGCAGCCGCGGUAAUACGUAGGGUGCAAGCGUUAAUCGGAAUUACUGGGCGUAAAGCGUGCGCAGGCGGUUUGCUAAGACCGAUGUGAAAUCCCCGGGCUAAACCUGGGAACUGCAUUGGUGACUGGCAGGCUAGAGUAUGGCAGAGGGGGGUAGAAUUCCACGUGUAGCAGUGAAAUGCGUAGAGAUGUGGAGGAAUACCGAUGGCGAAGGCAGCCCCCUGGGCCAAUACUGACGCUCAUGCACGAAAGCGUGGGGAGCAAAACAGGAUUAGAUACCCUGGUAGUCCACGCCCUAAAACGAUGUCAACUAGUUGUUGGGGAUUCAUUUCCUUAGUAACGUAGCUAACGCGUGAAGUUGACCGCCUGGGGAGUACGGUCGCAAGAUUAAAACUUAAAUGAAUUGACGGGGUCAUAGCUGUUUCCU
rnacentral:rRNA from 1 species